rnacentral:tRNA from 3 species
UGGGGUAUAGCCAAGCGGUAAGGCAACGGACUUUGACUCCGUCAUUCGAUGGUUCGAAUCCAUCUAUCCCAACCA